UACGGAGGGGGCUAGCGUUGUCCGAAGUUACUGGGCGUAAAGCGUGCGCAGGCGGUUUUGUAAGCCAGAUGUGAAAUCCCCGGGCUUAACCUGGGAAUGGCAUUUGGGACUGCAAGGCUUGAGUGCGGCAGAGGAGACUGGAAUUCCUGGUGUAGCAGUGAAAUGCGUAGAUAUCAGGAGGAAUACCGAUGGCGAAGGCAGGUCUCUGGGCUGACACUGACGCUCAUGCACGAAAGCGUGGGGAGCAAACAGG
rnacentral:rRNA from 1 species